AGUUGGGCACUCUAAGGUGACUGCCGGCUAAAAGUCGGAGGAAGGUGGGGAUGACGUCAAAUCAUCAUGCCCCUUAUGACCUGGGCUACACACGUGCUACAAUGGGCGGUACAAAGGGUCGCGAACCCGCGAGGGGGAGCCAAUCCCAAAAAGCCGCUCUCAGUUCGGAUUGCAGGCUGCAACUCGCCUGCAUGAAGCCGGAAUCGCUAGUAAUCGCGGAUCAGCAUGCCGCGGUGAAUACGUUCCCGGGCCUU
rnacentral:rRNA from 1 species